rfam:Archangium gephyra strain DSM 2261, complete genome.
CGGGGCGUAGCGCAGCCUGGUAGCGCACCUGCCUUGGGCGCAGGGGGUCGGAGGUUCGAAUCCUCUCGCCCCGA